UACGUAGGGGGCAAGCGUUGUCCGGAAUUACUGGGCGUAAAGCGCGUGUAGGCGGGACGGCAAGUCGGACGUGAAAGGCUGGGGCUCAACCCCAGAUCGCCGUUCGAAACUGCCGUUCUUUGAGGGUCGAAGAGGAGAGUGGAAUUCCUGGUGUAGCGGUGAAAUGCGCAGAUAUCAGGAGGAACACCGGUGGCGAAGGCGGGUCUCUGGGCAACAACUGACGCUGAGGAGCGAAAGCGUGGGGAGCGAACAGG
rnacentral:rRNA from 1 species